GUCAUUAUGCAGCCUGAGGCAGGGCGGGCCUGGAGGGUCUGUGCUCCCCCGCCUCACACACAGAUCAGCACCUGAGGACACACAGGGUCCCCCAGCACAGCAGGGAGCCUGCUCUGGGUGGUCCCCAAGGCCCACCUCGCCCUGGAGGAACUCCCUGCCUCUCCCGCCCCUCCCUCCUAAGGAUGCGCUCUCUGUCUCCCAGCAGGCCCUUCCUCCCACACUGCCCCCAGGACCUGGCUCUGGUUCUCCCGUCCCCUCCCAGAGACCAGUGACCGGCAUCCACACCUCCACUCCCAUGCCCCUCAGAGCAUGCCCCCUCACCCCCCCACACACAGGGCCUGCCCUGCGAUGCCUGUGUUCAAGGGAGGGCAAAGCCCUGGCGUGUUCCUGGGCCCAAGCAAGACCAGGGGCCAAGGGUGAUCAGUGCUCUGCGGCCAGGAAUUUCCUGAAGGGGAAGGAAAAAAUGUCUCUGGUGGUCACCUCUAAAUUCCUGUUUUAUGUUCUGGGGAGUCUUUUAUUUCUGUUUCAGUUCCAUCUAACAAACACUGAACAUGAAACGACCUGGGAUGAGCUGGUGACCUGCAGCGGAAAGCCGGGUGCAGGAAGUGUCUUCCUCAACCCGAGUCCUCAGGAAGCUGUGGGUGGCCAGAUGCCUGCCCACUGCCUCUCUGCACAGAGACCCAGUAGCGUGGGCCGGAAACCGAGCUCCAGAGAGGGACAGGGGCUAGCUCAAAGCCACACAGCAAGUCUGUCUACACAUGCCUUGGGUGCUUGAGGGUGGCCAGCUGGGGGUCACCUUGGCCAGUGCAGCUCUGGGAAGACUGGGGUAGGGGUGGGGAUUCUUUCUGGACAGAAUUUAUGGGCUGAUUCUUCCUCAGUGGCUCUCUCCUGAGUGGCACUGUCCCAGGCCUGCAGUGACUGGUGUCAUCUCUGGCUUUAGGGGACAAUUCUGAAGGAGUAGUGGGCUCACGGGCGGCAGGCUGUCACCUGUGUGGUCCUGUCGCCCUCAUGUGGUUUCCUCUGGCAUUGCAGCCAGUGCCAGGAGAAGGGGAAGGCAGCUCCAAGUCACCUGGCCUGUUACAGGAAGAGAAACGAGAGAAGGAAGAGACAGGCAUGUAAACAGAUAAAUGGCAGGCCAUGCAGAGUGGUGGGUGAUGGGUGCCACAGCAGAGGAAGGGACACAGGAAGUGACAUCUGAGCCGGGCUGCACAUGCAGGGAGCGGGG
rnacentral:lncRNA from 1 species